rnacentral:rRNA from 1 species
UACGAAGGGGGCUAGCGUUGUUCGGAUUUACUGGGCGUAAAGCGCACGUAGGCGGAUCUUUAAGUCAGCGGUGAAAUCCCAAGGCUCAACCUUGGAACUGCCUUUGAUACUGGGGAUCUUGAGUCCGGGAGAGGUGAGUGGAACUGCGAGUGUAGAGGUGAAAUUCGUAGAUAUUCGCAAGAACACCAGUGGCGAAGGCGGCUCACUGGCCCGGUACUGACGCUGAGGUGCGAAAGCGUGGGGAGCAAACAGG